UCUCCGUUGGUGAACCAGCGGAGGGAUCAUUACCGAGUUUACAACUCCCAAACCCAAUGUGAACCAUACCAAACUGUUGCCUCGGCGGGGUCACGCCCCGGGUGCGUCGCAGCCCCGGAACCAGGCGCCCGCCGGAGGGACCAACCAAACUCUUUCUGUAGUCCCCUCGCGGACGUUAUUUCUUACAGCUCUGAGCAAAAAUUCAAAAUGAAUCAAAACUUUCAACAACGGAUCUCAUGGUUCUG
rnacentral:misc_RNA from 1 species